ACCUUCUUGGGGUUGCACCUGUAGAGUUUCCAGUUCUCUACCAGUCUUGACUACAGGAGGGAGAGUAAAGCAGAGGUGUAUACAUUCCAUUCCUAGCUUGGGCAGUGGCUAGAGAGUGGAAGGCAAUCUGCUACAAGU